AUGCUGGGUCGGAAUCGGAGGGGUAGGGGGAGGGGAAGGGGUAGGGGAAGAGCCGGGGCGGAAGCGGAUCCGCCGGGCGUCGGCGUCGAGGAGGUGACCACGCAGCUCGUGUUCGAGCAAAACAGGCCCAUUUGCGCGCCUCUGCAGCAACAACUUAGUGAUGUCCCCGUACUCAAAUUUAACCUGGGAGCAGAAAUUUUGGAAGUUGAAUACCAUAGGGUCAUCACAGAGAUUAACAAGAGAGCUAGCAAAAUAGCCCCUGGGCUGUACAUGAACAAACCAAUAACACCCAUCCAAAAUCCACAAAACUGUCCAAAGCCCUAUAACUAUGAUGAUCGAACCAAGUGGGGACAUAGCUACUAUACCGUUGAGAUGAGGUUCCACCGCAAAUGUCCGCAUCCAUUUCGUGGAGUGAGGAUUCAGAUCAUCUUUAGGGACUAUGAUGGUUAUAUGCUGGGGUAUGGGAGGCGUAUGAAUGGACACUGGACCAACUGGUACUACUGCAGCAAGAAAGAGUUCCCAAUCCCUUUCUUUAUUCAAGAAGGCGCGAUAAAACUACCAUUCCGAGAAGACUAUGUCAUGAAGCCUCUUAUUGGUGGAGCUGCAACGUUUAUGAAUAUCUUUAAACAAUUUGCACGAUACCCGGAAAUGGGAAACUCACAAGAGCUAUUAGAGGCGUUUCUCUCCGCUGUGGUGGUUCUGUCAGAGGCAAGGCGCAUCAUUUGGGUAUUUAGGGAAGUGAAGAAUCGGAUCCGACGAAAUGAAGCACCAUCAGAUCUUGACUGUAAGGUCCCUGGAAAGGAACUCCCCACUGGAUUGGCUUGGACCUCAAUUGGAGACUGGACCAUGGACAGUAAACAGGUUUUAGGUUCUGCGUUCAAGGGAGAAUAUACGCCACGUACCGGUCAAAAAUUCGCGGAAACUGUGGUACCUGUCAAGACGUUUGGGCAACUUAUCUCACAAGAUGAAGAAUCUGGACACCUAAGCCUACUGAUGCGCGUGGAGAAUAUAGCAGCUCCGGAGGGUGGGUGGGUGCUCACAAGGUUGAAGAUGAAGGUGAAUAAUCCUGGACUUCGAGUCAUUGACCCAGGAUUCCCUGACGAUCCAGAAUUAUCUGAUGAUGAGUGA
rnacentral:rRNA from 1 species